UACGUAGGGGGCGAGCGUUGUCCGAAGUUACUGGGCGUAAAGAGCGCGUAGGCGGGUUGGUAAGUCUGCUGUGAAAGCCCGGAGCUUAACUCCGGAGGGUCGGUGGAUACUGCCAGUCUUGAAGGUGCUAGGGAGAGAUGGAAUUACCGGUGUAGCGGUGAAAUGCGUAGAUAUCGGGAGGAACACCUGUGGCGAAAGCGGCGCACUGGACCACAACUGACGCUGAGGCGCGAAGGCUAGGGGAGCAAACAGG
rnacentral:rRNA from 1 species